rnacentral:rRNA from 1 species
GGGUUACCCUGUAGGGAGGUGCCCGAUGACGCUUUCUAACCCCUGCCUCGGGGGAGGUUAGCUGAGGGCCCCUCCAAGCCGGCCGCAGCGCCGAUCGAAAAAACCUUUUCGAAAACACUUUGUCCAACUCUACCCUGUAGAACUAAUCGUUCGAAAAAAUCUCUUAUCUCGAGGCUUUUCUUUGCCUUGGGGCUGAGGCUUUUCCUUGCCUUGCCUUUCUAAUCAGUUCGAAUGUGUUUCCCGGUUGGAAUUUUUGCUCGAAGUUUACGAUGUUACGUUGGAAGUAAAAGUCGUAACAAGGUCUCCGUUGGUGAACCAGCGGAGGGAUCAUUACUGAGUUUACGCUCUACAACCCUUUGUGAACAUACCUAUAACUGUUGCUUCGGCGGGUAGGGUCUCCGUGACCCUCCCGGCCUCCCGCCCCCGGGCGGGUCGGCGCCCGCCGGAGGAUAACCAAACUYUGAUUUAACGACGUUUCUUCUGAGUGGUACAAGCAAAUAAUCAAAACUUUUAACAACGGAUYUYUUGGUUYUGGCAUCGAUGAAKAACGCAGCGAAAUGCGAUAAGUAAUGUGAAUUGCAGAAUUCAGUGAAUCAUYGAAUCUUUGAACGCACAUUGCGCCCGCCAGCAUUYUGGCGGGCAUGCCUGUUCGAGCGUCAUUUCAACCCUCAAGCUCUGCUUGGUGUUGGGGCCCUACUAGCUGAUGUAKGCCCUCAAAGGUAGUGGCGGACCCUCCCGGAGCCUCCUUUGMGUASUAACUUUACGUCUCGCACUGGGAUCCGGAGGGACUCUUGCCGUAAAACCCCCAAUUUUCCAAAGGUUGACCUCGGAUCAGGUAGGAAUACCCGCUGAACUUAACCAUAUCAUAGANCGGAGGAAUGCAUCNNAACNAAUUUUGUGAAAACAACUUAUUAUCAAAACUUUCAACAACGGAUCUCUUGGUUCUGGCAUCGAUGAAGAACGCAGCGAAAUGCGAUAAGUAAUGUGAAUUGCAGAAUUCAGUGAAUCAUCGAAUCUUUGAACGCACAUUGCGCCCAUUAGUAUUCUAGUGGGCAUGCCUAUUCGAGCGUCAUUACAACCCUUAAGCCCUGUUGCUUAGCGUUGGGAAUCUACGGCUUAGGCGUAGUUCCUUAAAAUUAGUGGCGGAGUUAUAGCACUUUCAGCGUAGUAAUUUGC